rnacentral:rRNA from 1 species
UACGAAGGGGGCUAGCGUUGUUCGGAAUUACUGGGCGUAAAGCGCGCGCAGGCGGUCUUCCAAGUCAGUGGUGAAAGCCCGGAGCUCAACUCCGGAACUGCCAUUGAAACUGUAAGACUUGAGGACGAGAGAGGUGAGUGGAAUUCCCAGUGUAGAGGUGAAAUUCGUAGAUAUUGGGAAGAACACCGGUGGCGAAGGCGGCUCACUGGCUCGUAUCUGACGCUCAGGCGCGACAGCGUGGGGGAUCAAAAUAGG